UUUAUAUUAUAAUGUAUCACUAUACAUUAAAUUAAUUCCCAAAGUAAAUUUGAAUAUUUCAAAUUACAACCAAUAUAAAUAAAUCUCAUUACCCUUUACGAGUUAGGACUCGACCUAAUGGACCUACAGAUCAGAAGCUACAACGAUUUGAAAAUAAUUGGCUAAACUCAUUAACCACAUUAAUUAAUAUUCGUUAACUGUGUGUACAUUCCACUAAAGACACACAACUAAACUCUUCUCACUAUAGAUAUAUUUCUGUGUCCACGGAUAUAGACCAAUAACAGUAAGUUAGUCCUUCACGAGUGUUCGUAACACCAGUUGGGUCAAUUUAUCGUUUUACCCUUAGGUUACCUUUAAUCCUUAAAUACCAGUGCUCCUCC
rnacentral:lncRNA from 1 species